ACUCUAAUAGUUUAUAAAAACAUUGGCCUUGUAAGCCAAAGAAUGGAAGCCACCCCUUCCUUAGAGUG
rnacentral:tRNA from 1 species